GCCUUCGUGGUGUAGUGGUCAGCACCCUCGACGCGUAACUGAGAUGCCCGUAGUUCGAUUCCCGGUGAAAGCG
rnacentral:tRNA from 1 species